AGGCAGGUAGCCUAGUGGUUAGAGGCAGGUAGCCUAGUGGUUAUAGGCAGGUAGCCUAGUGGUUAGAGACAGGUAGCCUAGUGGUUGGAGGCAGGUAGCCUAGUGGUUAGAGCAGGUAGCCUGGUGGUUAGAGGCAGCUAGCCUAGUGGUUAGAGCAGCUAGCCCAGUGGUUAGAGCAGGUAGCCUAGUGGUUAGAACAGGUAGCCUAUUGGUUAGAGCAGGUAGCCUAGUGGUUAGAGCAGGUAGCCUAGUGUGGUUAGAGCAGGUAGCCUAGUGGUUAGAGCAGGUAGCCUAGUGGUUAGAACAGGUAGCCUAUUGGUUAGAGCAGGUAGCCUAGUGGUUAGAGCAGGUAGCCUAGUGGUUAGAGCAGGUAGCCUAGUGGUUAGAGCAGGUAGCCUAGUGGUUAGAGCAGGUAGCCUAGUGGUUAGAGCAGGUAGCCUAGUGGUUAGAGCCUAGUGGUUAGAGCAGGUAGCCUAGUGGUUAGAGCAGGAAGCCUAGUGGUUAGAACAGGUAGCCUAGUGGUUAGAGCAGAUAGCCUAGUGGUUAGAACAGGUAGCCUAGUGGUUAGAGCAGGUAGCCUAGUGGUUAGAGAAGGUGGCCUAGUGGUUAGAGCAGGUCGCCUAGUGGUUAGAGCAGGUAGCCUAGUGUGGUUAGAGCAGGUAGCCUAGUGGUUAGAGCCUGGUGGUUAGAGCAGGUAGCCUAGUGGUUAGAGCCUAGUGGUUAGAGCAGGUAGCCUAGUGGUUAGAGCCUAGUGGUUAGAGCAGGUAGCCUAGUGGUUAGAGCCUAGUGGUUAGAGCAGGUAUCCUAGUGGUUAGAUCCUAGUGGUUAGAGCAGGUAGCCUAGUGGUUAGAGCCUAGUGGUUAGAGCAGGUAGCCUAGUGGUUGGAGCAGGUAGCCUAGUGGUUGGAGCAGCUAGCCUAGUGGUCAGAGCAGCUAGCCUAGUGGUUAGAGCAGGUAGCCUAGUGGUUAGAGACAGGUAGCCUAGUGGUUAGAGCAGGUAGCCUAGUGGUUAGAGUCUAGUGGUUAGAGCCUAGUGGUUAGAGCAGUUAGCCUAGUGGUUGAUCAGCUAGCCUAGUUGUUAGAGCCUAGUGGUUAGAGCAGGUAUCCUAGUGGUUAGAGCCUAGUGGUGAGAGCAGGUAGCCUAGUGGUUAGAGCAUUGGACUAGUAACCGAAAGAUCGAAUCCCCCGAGCUGAGAAGGUAAAAAUCUGUCCUUCUGCCCCUGAACUGUUCCCCGGUAGGCCGUCAUUGUCAAUAACAUUUUUUCUUAACUGACUUGUUAAAUUAAAGAUAAAAUGUAAAAAAACGCUACACACAGCCUACAUCGUUGUCACGUCAUGGUCAACAUAGCUACUAGAACUAACGCGUUAGUAAACCCGCUACAAUCAUUCAGUACAGUCAGCAAGCGGUUUAGCAGUUACACCAGUGGGCCCCGGUGGCAAUACAUUUGUAAAAUCAAAAGCCUUACCUUGACUUGGAAGAGUUCCAGUGUGUUGGAUAGUCAUAGCCAGCUAGCUAACAUAGCAUCCCUCUGUCAUAGCCAGCUAGCUAACAUAGCAUCCCUCUGUCAUAGCCAGCUAGCUAACAUAGCAUCCCUCUGUUAUAGCCAGCUAGCUAACAUAGCAUCCCUCAGUUAUAGCCAGCUAGCUAACAUAGCAUCCCUCUGUUAUAGCCAGCUUGCUCACAUAGCAUCCCUCUGUUAUAGCCAGCUAGCUAACAUAGCAUCCCUCUGUUAUAGCCAGCUAGCUAACAUAACAUCCCUCUGUUAUAGCCAGCUAGCUAACAUAGCAUCCCUGUUAUAGCCAGCUAGCUAACAUAGCACCCCUCUGUUAUAGCCAGCUAGCUCACAUAGCAUCCCUCUGUUAUAGCCAGCUAGCUAACAUAGCAUCCCUCUGUUAUAGCCAGCUAGCUAACAUAGCAUCCCUCUGUUAUAGCCAGCUAGCUAACAUAGCAUCCCUGUUAUAGCCAGCUAGCUAACAUAGCAUCCCUCUGUUAUAGCCAGCUAGCUAACAUAGCAUCCCUCUG
ensembl:lncRNA